UCUCCGUUGGUGAACCAGCGGAGGGAUCAUUACAGAGUUGCAAAACUCCCAAACCCUUGUGAACGUUACCUAUCCCGUUGCUUCGGCGGGCGGCCCGGGCCCCGCGCCCGGCGCCCCCCGGCCCCCCGUGGGCGCCCGCCGGAGGUAAACCAAACCCUUGAAUUGCAUGGCCUCUCUGAGGCUUCUGUACUGAAUAAGUCAAAACUUUCAACAACGGAUCUCUUGGUUCUG
rnacentral:misc_RNA from 1 species